rnacentral:rRNA from 1 species
GGUAUCCUGACCGUNCUAAGGUAGCAUAUAAUACGCCCUUUAAUUGGGGGCUAGAAUGAAUGGAAAAACGAAGUAUCCCUGUCUCCUUGGUAGACAUGAAAAUUGAUCUUUAAGUGAAAAAACUUAAAUAAUUUUAAAGGACAAAAAGACCCUACAGAGCUUCAUCCUUUCUAUCAGGUAAUAAAGUAAUAUAUAUUUCCUGCCCACAGAUAGAUGGAUUUUACUGGGGCGGUAAAAGAGAAAAACCCUCUUCUAAACACCCAGGCCUCAAGCCACAGAUAGUGACCUUAUAAAAAUCAAAGAAACAAAGCUACCUUAGGGAUAACAGACUAAUUUUUUCUGAGAGCACCUAUGAAG